CAGGCUUAACACAUGCAAGUCGAGGGGCAGCAUGGUCUUAGCUUGCUAAGGCCGAUGGCGACCGGCGCACGGGUGAGUAACACGUAUCCAACCUGCCGUCUACUCUUGGACAGCCUUCUGAAAGGAAGAUUAAUACAAGAUGGCAUCAUGAGUCCGCAUGUUCACAUGAUUAAAGGUAUUCCGGUAGACGAUGGGGAUGCGUUCCAUUAGAUAGUAGGCGGGGUAACGGCCCACCUAGUCUUCGAUGGAUAGGGGUUCUGAGAGGAAGGUCCCCCACAUUGGAACUGAGACACGGUCCAAACUCCUACGGGAGGCAGCAGUGAGGAAUAUUGGUCAAUGGGCGCAGGCCUGAACCAGCCAAGUAGCGUGAAGGAUGACUGCCCUAUGGGUUGUAAACUUCUUUUAUAAAGGAAUAAAGUCGGGUAUGGAUACCCGUUUGCAUGUACUUUAUGAAUAAGGAUCGGCUAACUCCGUGCCAGCAGCCGCGGUAAUACGGAGGAUCCGAGCGUUAUCCGGAUUUAUUGGGUUUAAAGGGAGCGUAGAUGGAUGUUUAAGUCAGUUGUGAAAGUUUGCGGCUCAACCGUAAAAUUGCAGUUGAUACUGGAUAUCUUGAGUGCAGUUGAGGCAGGCGGAAUUCGUGGUGUAGCGGUGAAAUGCUUAGAUAUCACGAAGAACUCCGAUUGCGAAGGCAGCCUGCUAAGCUGCAACUGACAUUGAGGCUCGAAAGUGUGGGUAUCAAACAGGAUUAGAUACCCUGGUAGUCCACACGGUAAACGAUGAAUACUCGCUGUUUGCGAUAUACUGCAAGCGGCCAAGCGAAAGCGUUAAGUAUUCCACCUGGGGAGUACGCCGGCAACGGUGAAACUCAAAGGAAUUGACGGGGGCCCGCACAAGCGGAGGAACAUGUGGUUUAAUUCGAUGAUACGCGAGGAACCUUACCCGGGCUUAAAUUGCAGAUGAAUUACGGUGAAAGCCGUAAGCCGCAAGGCAUCUGUGAAGGUGCUGCAUGGUUGUCGUCAGCUCGUGCCGUGAGGUGUCGGCUUAAGUGCCAUAACGAGCGCAACCCUUGUUGUCAGUUACUAACAGGUUCCGCUGAGGACUCUGACAAGACUGCCAUCGUAAGAUGUGAGGAAGGUGGGGAUGACGUCAAAUCAGCACGGCCCUUACGUCCGGGGCUACACACGUGUUACAAUGGGGGGUACAGAGGGCCGCUACCACGCGAGUGGAUGCCAAUCCCAAAAACCUCUCUCAGUUCGGACUGGAGUCUGCAACCCGACUCCACGAAGCUGGAUUCGCUAGUAAUCGCGCAUCAGCCACGGCGCGGUGAAUACGUUCCCGGGCCUUGUACACACCGCCCGUCAAGCCAUGGGAGCCGGGGGUACCUGAAGUGCGUAACCGCGAGGAGCGCCCUAGGGUAAAACUGGUGACUGGGGC
rnacentral:rRNA from 1 species